rnacentral:rRNA from 1 species
UACGAAGGGGCUAGCGUUGCUCGGAAUCACUGGGCGUAAAGCGCACGUAGGCGGAUUGCUAAGUCAGGGGUGAAAUCCUGGAGCUCAACUCCAGAACUGCCUUUGAUACUGGCGAUCUCGAGUCCGGGAGAGGUGAGUGGAACUGCGAGUGUAGAGGUGAAAUUCGUAGAUAUUCGGCAAGAACACCAGUGGCGAAGGCGGCUCACUGGCCCGGUACUGACGCUGAGGUGGCGAAAGCGAUGGG